rnacentral:lncRNA from 1 species
UGGGGAGUGGGGGUACUGGAGAUGAGCCUCAGUGGUAAAGCAUCUCUGGGUCCAAUCCUUGGUACCAAAAAUAUUCACUCCUAAUGCUGAUUUAAAAGUUAAAAAGUCAGAGUGUCCCCAAACCCUUCACUGGAAAUGGCUGUACACAAUGGCAUCUGAGGGCGAGGGGCUUGAGUUCAGUGGAGCUUUACCAUGACGCCAGGCGUCAUCCUGCCCUGGUCGUCUUGGAGGAUGGAGAUGCAGGUGCCUGGGCCCCCUUGUCUUGGGCAUGUAGUGGGCAGAAGGUAGGCUGACCCACUGUUAUGGGGAUGUGUGUCUUUCUUGGUCCAGUCUGACAGCUUUGAGGUAGAAUCCAGGGUCUUAGCAUCAGCUGUCUGUAGCUCCUGUCUAAGUGAGCCCCUCGCUCUGGGACCUGAAAUGCUUCAGACCUGUGCAGUCGUUGCCAGAGUAGUUCACUGAGCUUGGAUAAUGGAGCUCGGAGUCCUGUGGAACCAUGUCUGUCGGAAUAAACGAGAACAGCUGGUCUCUUGUAUAAAUACUGUUGGCAUGAAUUUUUUUAUUUAAGUCUCUCCAUGUAUCUAGUAAACAGUAAGCAGAAUUCUACCAUCACUAAAAGCCUCCCAAGUCCCCGCUAAUAAAUUUCCUUCACCCCUCCCCAUUUAAAAGUUCAGGGUGCAGGGCAGGGUUAAUGUACCAGAGAAGGAAUGCUAGGAAAGAAUUUCUGAGCUAGAGAAAAUAAGGUUCCUCUUCUUCCUCCUUUCCCAUUUGACCUUCAGCUUCUCUCUAAGAUAACAAAUUUUUUGGACAGUUUCUUGGGAAAGCAAGAUUUGUGCAGACAUUCUUUUGCUAUUCUGUAUGUACAAAGAGAGACUUGAUCACAUUAAAAUGGAGACUCUGUCCCUCAGUGUCUCAUGGGGAGAAAAUUUGAAUUUGGAUUAAGGGAUAGGCAAGUGAUGAAAUGUCCUCUGGGUCCCCUCUAAAUGGGUGGCAGCAAAAUUCUUUCCAGCAUCUUUAUGAGGUAGGUCUUACCACGCUUCCCAGAGAGUGAGCCCCCUUCACUUUCCUGUACAGAACCAGGGGCACCCUCGAGGACAUCGAUGACCGUGUCCGUUCCCCUCUUCUGUUAUCUCUAGCAGCAGAAGGAAUGUCUGGCUUCACUUGUGUGCUGAGCCCGGGGAGCUGGGAGCCAGGCCCUCCUGGAUGCAUUUUCUAGUCCUGGCUCCUUAGUUCUUUGGCAGGCAGCAUGGGGUCCUGCAGCAGGGCGAGGAGACGAGAAGAGGGGACCGGUAUCUGUGUCUCUUGGGAAUCGAUGAGUCUUCAUGAGAUCUGCCUCGUUCCUGCUCUUUCCAACCCUGUGAGAGUCCCGCUGUCACAACAAGGGGCUCCUGGAUAUAUCGAUGGCCUUCCUUGGGGACAGUUGUUGCAGUUGUACUUUCUUGCCCCCUGACUCGUUUCCUGGCCUUGGCCUAUGAACUAUGAGCAGACGUCACAGGUGUCACACCUCAGAGGAGGCUGGAGGAGCCACCAAGUCAUGUGCUUCAUCCCUUCCCUCCGGCCGUGGUUGACAUGCAUGUGAAGAGGGAGCAGGGAUGUGGUCUGUGAGGGGCUGUCACUGAAAGGCCCCGCCCAGGCUCCUCGUGUCACAUGAGAGAGAGUGAGCUGUGGUCACCGGUGUCAUUUACCCUCUGAUUGGGGCAGCAGCAUUUGUGUCUUUGGAGGAGCAGGAGUGAUGGCCUGGGUGUUUGGGCAGUGGACACGCGUCACAGUUGUGGUGGCUGGUGGAAAUCCGCACACAGCAGUCGCAGCUGUACGAACACUACUGCUAUUUCCUAAAGGCAGGACCUGUGUUCUAGGAGGACUGGGAACUUCAGGGGACGCCUCUCUCUUGACCCCAGGUGUCUCAUGGUCAUCAGGUAUCUUCAUGGAAAGGAGGAUAACUCUACAGAGGAAAGACAAGGACGAGACGUGUACACACAAACACACACACACACACACACACACACGUGAGCUGACUCCCGGGAAUCGCAGGAGAGCCUUUAAUACCGCACUCCUGGUGGCAGCCGGGAGGCGCUCCUGGGGUGGACGGAAUGCUGAAUUUAUAUUUAGGGACUUUCCACUGCUGAAUCACAGAGCUUGUAAAAUUUAAAAAGAAGAGGAGGUUGGAGAAGGGGGGUUUCAGGGCCCAGGGAUGUGGUUGACAAUAUUCCUUUUAAUUUAAAGCCACCUGAAGGCUUCCCGUCUUUGGAGAGCCUCAGCCUGCCGUCCACUGGGCCUUGGCUCAGGGCUGCCUUUUCCUGACCCAGGGCUCCUCGGCCUGCUGGUAGGAAGUGGAGCCCAAGCCCAUGCUGGGGGAGUGUCCCCGGCUCUGCUCUCUCCCCAGGCCUGCGGCUUGCUCGUCUGGCACGGAGGACGUCCCUUCCAGGGCACUCUUGGCUGGCAGAGAGCCGGGGCCAUCAGGGAGACCACUCUGAGGUGACCUCCUGCCUUGGCUAGUGCCAGAGCUGCUCUACAGGCACUCUGCUCGGCCCCUGCCUUCUUCU